AUUGAACGCUGGCGGUAUGCUUAACUCAUGCAAGUCGAACGGUAACAGCAAAGCUUGCUUUGGCUGACGAGUGGCGGACGGGUGAGUAACGCGUGGGAAUCUACCUAGUAGUGGGGGAUAGCCAGGAGAAAUCCUGAUUAAUACCGCAUACGCCCUACGGGGGAAAGAGGCCCUCUUCUUGAAAGGUCUCACUAUUAGAUGAGCCCGCGUUAGAUUAGCUAGAUGGUGAGGUAAGAGCACACCAUGGCAACGAUCUAUAACUGGUCUGAGAGGAUGACCAGUCACAUUGGGACUGAGACACGGCCCAG
rnacentral:rRNA from 1 species